rnacentral:sRNA from 1 species
ACGCGUCGCUUCGUGAUGCUGCGAGAUAACUCGGGGGACCCGGCCGACCCGCACAAGGUGUACGCGCUCAGCCGGGAGCUGUGCUGGCGAGAAGGCCCAGGCACGGACCAGACUGAGGCAGAGGCCCCCGCAGCUGUCCCACCACCACAGGUAGCCUUCUCUCUGCCUGCCUCUCCUCCUACCAGGCCGCGGAACUGCUUACGUUGACCCUGACUUUUCCCUGCAGGGUGGGCCCCCAGGGCCAUUCCUGGCACACACAGAUGCUGGACUCCAAGCCCCAGGCCCCCUCCCUGCCCCGGCUGGUGACAAGGGGGACCUCCUGCUCCAGGCAGUGCAACAGAGCUGCCUGGCGGACCAUCUGCUGACAGCGUCAUGGGGGGCAGAUCCAGUCCCAACCAAGGCUCCUGGAGAGGGACAAGAAGGGCUUCCCCUGACUGGGGCCUGUGCUGGAGGUGUGGGCGUGCCCGGGGAGGCGGGGAGCGCGGGAGGGGCCAGUGCACCUGGACGGACACUUGAGAAGGGGGCUGGGGAUUGGGGAGCUGGAGAAUUAGGAGGGGACCACCGUUCCCACUGUCCUCCCCUCCUCAGGCCCAGGGCUCCCUGCUGGGGAGCUGUAC